CCUACGGGAGGCAGCAGUGGGGAAUAUUGGACAAUGGGCGAAAGCCUGAUCCAGCAAUGCCGCGUGAGUGAUGAAGGCCUUCGGGUCGUAAAGCUCUUUUACCAGGGAUGAUAAUGACAGUACCUGGAGAAUAAGCUCCGGCUAACUCCGUGCCAGCAGCCGCGGUAAUACGGAGGGAGCUAGCGUUGUUCGGAAUUACUGGGCGUAAAGAGUACGUAGGCGGUUAUUCAAGUCAGAGGUGAAAGCCCGGGGCUCAACCCCGGAACUGCCUUUGAAACUAGAUAACUAGAGUCUUGGAGAGGUUAGUGGAAUUCCGAGUGUAGAGGUGAAAUUCGUAGAUAUUCGGAAGAACACCAGUGGCGAAGGCGACUAACUGGACAAGUACUGACGCUGAGGUACGAAAGCGUGGGGAGCAAACAGGAUUAGAUACCCUGGUAGUCCACGCCGUAAACGAUGAUAACUAGUUGUUCGGUCACUUGGUGACUGAGUGACGCAGCUAACGCAUUAAGUUAUCCGCCUGGGGAGUACGGUCGCAAGAUUAAAACNCAAAGGAAUUGACGGCUGAGACGNGCGACGACGACGACGAGGGAGUAGG
rnacentral:rRNA from 1 species